AUCCAGCUGACGAGUCCCACAUAGGACGAAACGCGCGUUCUGAAU
rfam:Schistosoma margrebowiei strain Zambia genome assembly, scaffold: SMRZ_contig0002944